CCUACGGGCGGCUGCAGUGGGGAAUAUUGCACAAUGGGCGCAAGCCUGAUGCAGCCAUGCCGCGUGUGUGAAGGAGGCCUUCGGGUUGUAAAGCACUUUCAGCGGGGAGGAAGGCGUUAAGGUUAAUAACCUUGUCGAUUGACGUUACCCGCAGAAGAAGCACCGGCUAACUCCGUGCCAGCAGCCGCGGUAAUACGGAGGGUGCAAGCGUUAAUCGGAAUUACUGGGCGUAAAGCGCACGCAGGCGGUCUGUCAAGUCGGAUGUGAAAUCCCCGGGCUCAACCUGGGAACUGCAUUCGAAACUGGCAGGCUAGAGUCUUGUAGAGGGGGGUAGAAUUCCAGGUGUAGCGGUGAAAUGCGUAGAGAUCUGGAGGAAUACCGGUGGCGAAGGCGGCCCCCUGGACAAAGACUGACGCUCAGGUGCGAGAGCGUGGGGAGCAAACAGGAUUAGAUACCCGAGUAGUC
rnacentral:rRNA from 1 species